rnacentral:rRNA from 1 species
GAGUUUGAUCGUGGCUUAGGACGAACGCUGGCGGCGUGCCUAAUACAUGCAAGUAGAACGCUGAAAUCUGGUGCUUGCACCGGAUGGAUGAGUUGCGGACGGGUGAGUAACACGUAGGUAACCUGCCCCGGAGCGGGGGAUAACAUUUGGAAGCAGAUGCUAAUACCGCAUAACAACAAAAGCCACAUGGCUUUUGUUUGAAAGAUGGCUUUGGCUAUCACUCUGGGAUGGACCUGCGGUGCAUUAGCUAGUUGGUAAGGUAACGGCUUACCAAGGCGAUGAUGCAUAGCCGAGUUGAGAGACUGAUCGGCCACAGUGGAACUGAGACACGGUCCAUACUCCUACGGGAGGCAGCAGUAGGGAAUCUUCCACAAUGGGCGCAAGCCUGAUGGAGCAACACCGCGUGAGUGAAGAAGGGUUUC